UGGGGAAUAUUGGACAAUGGGGGGAACCCUGAUCCAGCCAUGCCGCGUGUGUGAAGAAGGCCUUAUGGUUGUAAAGCACUUUAAGCGAGGAGGAGGGUACUGGUAUUAAUACUACCAGGUACUGGACGUUACUCGCAGAACAAGCACCGGCUAACUCUGUGCCAGCAGCCGCGGUAAUACAGAGGGUGCGAGCGUUAAUCGGAUUUACUGGGCGUAAAGCGUGCGUAGGCGGCUAAUUGAGUCGGAUGUGAAAUCCCCGAGCUUAACUUGGGAAUUGCAUUCGAUACUGGUUAGCUAGAGUGUGGGAGAGGAUGGUAGAAUUCCAGGUGUAGCGGUGAAAUGCGUAGAGAUCUGGAGGAAUACCGAUGGCGAAGGCAGCCAUCUGGCCUAACACUGACGCUGAGGUACGAAAGCAUGGGGGGCAAACAGG
rnacentral:rRNA from 1 species